GCUGAGAAGGUCUUCAACCAGGAUUUCUACUUCAAGCGAACCAUGAAAUACGUGGGAGAACCCAUGAUCCACUUGGAGUCUAUUGCUUCCUCCCCGGCUGAAUCUACUAGCACUAGAAAUGAAUCAGUGUUGAAGGUUGCUCUUGACCACGGCAAAGCAUCCGGUGUGAUCAAGUCGCAUGGCUUACCUUAGCCAGAAUUUCUAUAAGAAUGUUGCUGAUGUUACAUUCCUUGCUUUCUCUAGAACGAAGAUCUGGAUCACCCUCGCCCCUCUAGAGAAAUCAGUCUACUCAUUCAAGUUCUGGAAAUUCUUUAUAGCUUUUUGAGUUUACUUCGGUCUUGCAUGUAUUAGCUUUCUGUUUGUGCCCCUAUCUAUCUAUGUACGUUUCUUGUGUGCAAGUGCUCCAUUAUGUGUGUGUGACUGUGUGUGGCUUGACUCUGUGUGUGUGUGACUGUGUG